rnacentral:rRNA from 1 species
GAUGAACGCUAGCGACAGGCUUAACACAUGCAAGUCGAGGGGCAGCACGGGAGUAGCAAUACAACUGGUGGCGACCGGCGCACGGGUGAGUAACGCGUAUGCAACCUACCUAUCAGAGGGGAAUAACCCGGCGAAAGUCGGACUAAUACCGCAUAAAACAGGGGCACCGCAUGGUGAUAUUUGUUAAAGAAAUUCGCUGAUAGUUGGGCAUGCGUUCCAUUAGGUAGUUGGUGAGGUAACGGCUCACCAAGCCGACGAUGGAUAGGGGAACUGAGAGGUUGGUCCCCCACACUGGUACUGAGACACGGACCAGACUCCUACGGGAGGCAGCAGUGAGGAAUAUUGGUCAAUGGGCGAGAGCCUGAACCAGCCAAGUCGCGUGAAGGAAGAAGGAUCUAUGGUUCGUAAACUUCUUUUGCAGGGGAAUAAAGUGCAGGACGUGUCCUGUUUUGUAUGUACCCUGAGAAUAAGGAUCGGCUAACUCCGUGCCAGCCGCCGCAGUAA